GAAAAGGUGAAAGAAAACAACACAUUAACCCUUUUGUUAUAAUAAUUCAGUUGGCUAAGCAAUCUGACAUGUAGCGCGAAAAGGGAAACACCCAAAUCUGCACCAGGUACACCACCCCCUCCCUCUCUGGAUGCACCGCCAACAGAUGCAGCUGCUUCUGCUGCAAAUUCCCCGGAACUCGCCUCAAGAUCGAGUCCGCAUCCACGCUGUACCUCAGCGCCCACCCGCCGCCGCCUCCCCCUCCGCCCUCCAGCGCCCAAACCUUGAUCCGCCCUUCUUCCUCGCACGCGUAAUGCAACCGCCCUCCAGAUCGGUCGACGCACGCCCCCGGCUUCACUCCCACCGGAAGAUCGAUUAGGCGGCAGGGCAACGCGUCGUCGUCGAGGUCGAUGGCGACGAUGUGGUGGGGGUAAGCGAGGACGUAGAGGAUUCCGGCAAAAUAGCGCAAGGAGGCGGUCAGAGAAUCGGAGUCGAUGCCCCAGUGAACCCGGCGCUCGGCCCACCCACCGGUCGAGGACGAGAAGACCUCGAUCUGCGACCCCUGCGGAAGCCAUCCGGCGAAGGAGACCACCUGCCGAUUGCAAAUCGCCCUUGGAAUGGUAGGAAUCGAAGGCCAAGACGGAGAGGAGAGUGGUCCUGCGCGCCGGCGGCAGCCCAGCCCACCUCUUAGUAAUCGGACUGAGCACGUAGAAGGAGGCGCUGCUGGCAGAGUAGGCGAGCAACAGGCCGCCGCAGCAGUCCACGAUGUCCGACUUACCGUGCAGCGGGAAGAACUCCAACCCACACUCCCGGAGCUCGCCGGCGUCGUUGGAGGUGCACGCGAACCGGGGCUCUCUGUUGGCGGCGCUGCAAUGGUAGAAGACGGCGGAGGUGAGCAGCGGCAGCCGGCGGCGGAGAUAGUCGUCGUUGGAGAUGAGGCCGUGCCAUGCCUUGGAGACGCACUUGAACCGGAAGAGCGACUUGAGGGGAAGCCUGGUGAGGAUCUCCACAGAGACGUCAUCGUUCGCCAUUGAUCAAGGAUGAUAAGAGUUAUAUUACAAGGAUGCCAGAAAACCAGGAUAACGACUUGAACGCGGUGAUGCGUUAUGAGUUGUGGCGUGGUGUCGGCGUCGCGUGGAGUGAGAGGGAAGAUGAGGCUGCUUGUUGCGUCGUUGCUUUGCUUGCUUGGGCGGUUGAUGUACGCAAAGCGAGCGUCCGUUCUGUUCUUCGAAAGCGGAAAAUGAGGCGGCGUAGUGGGGAGGUGGAGGUGGUGAGAGAUGGCGUGGUUGUUUGACACGUUGAAACGUGGAGGGAGCAUCUUAAAAAUAAAUAAAAAAACAAAUUAUAUUUGUAUUAUUAUAUUAUUAUAAAUAUAAUAAUAUUUUAAUAAUUAAAAUUAAAAAGUCAAA